GUUGUACUUCUCCGCACUCUGCUGCCUGACACUCUACUCUGUGCUGGAGCUCCCGCUGCUGCUGGGUGGGGGCUACAAACUUCACAUUGGGGCCAUUUCCACCUCCUGUGACCAUUGCCCUGGUGAUCCUGGGAGGAGAGGUCCAGCCUGGUGUAGGGAGGAGGUCACAGGGGGCAGAUGAGGGGCUCGCACAGGCUCCCGGGGGUCUCCAUCUGCUGAGAUUACACAGGAACUUGCCCAUAGGAUAAAGGAUUUUGUGUGGGAAAUACGAAGCUGAGAAUGGAGCGGAGGAGAGGCUGGAGCUGCACCCUGGAGGUACUUAGGUCCACAAAGGGCAGCGAUGACCAUGACCGCCAACAAAAACGCAGCCAUCCCUCAAACUGCUGGCGGCUGUAGGAUCCCGCGGGAUACUCUGGAACGGUCUCAGUCGGUGUCUCCCCCACCGGUUCUGUCUCCGAUCCGGACACCAUCGUACCCUCUCAGUGACAGCGAGGAGAUCUGCAGAGCCAACAGAUUCCCCAACAUAUCCAACAAUAACAGACUGGUCAUCAAAGACUGGACCCUGCGAGGAUCUACCGUAAGAGACCUGCGCUCUCCGGGGGCCGCCUCCAACCACUUGUCUAAAUCGGUC